UCCCAGACUCCUACGGGAGGCAGCAGUGGGGAAUAUUGCACAAUGGGGGAAACCCUGAUGCAGCGACGCCGCGUGAGUGAAGAAGUAUUUCGGUAUGUAAAGCUCUAUCAGCAGGGAAGAAAGUGACGGUACCUGACUAAGAAGCCCCGGCUAACUACGUGCCAGCAGCCGCGGUAAUACGUAGGGGGCAAGCGUUAUCCGGAUUUACUGGGUGUAAAGGGAGCGUAGACGGAGGAGCAAGUCUGAAGUGAAAGCCCGCGGCUCAACUGCGGGACUGCUCUGGAAACUGCGGCGCUGGAGUACGGGAGGGGCAGGCGGAAUUCCUGGUGUAGCGGUGAAAUGCGUAGAUAUCAGGAGGAACACCGGCGGCGAAGGCGGCCUGCUGGACCGUGACUGACGUUGAGGCUCGAGAGCGUGGGGAGCAAACAGGAUUAGAUACCCUAGUAGUA
rnacentral:rRNA from 1 species